GAUGAACGCUAGCGGCAGGCUUAACACAUGCAAGUCGAGGGGUAUAGAAAGCUUGCUUUCUAGAGACCGGCAAACGGGUGCGGAACACGUACACAACCUACCUUUAUCAGGGGGAUAGCCUUCGGAAACGGAGAUUAAUACCCCAUAGUAUUAUGGAGUGGCAUCAUUUUAUAAUUAAAGAAUUUCGGAUAGAGAUGGGUGUGCGUAAGAUUAGCUAGUUGGUGAGGUAAAGGCUCACCAAGGCAACGAUCUUUAGCUGAUGUGAGAGCAUGAUCAGGCACACGGGCACUGAGACACGGGCCCGACUCCUACGGGAGGCAGCAGUGAGGAAUAUUGGUCAAUGGGCGGAAGUCUGAACCAGCCAUGCCGCGUGAAGGAUGAAGGCGUUCUGCGUUGUAAACUUCUUUUAUUUAGGAAGAAACCACUUUUUUUUAAGAGUGUUGACGGUAUUAAAUGAAUAAGCACCGGCUAACUCCGUGCCAGCCGCCGCGGUAACAC
rnacentral:rRNA from 1 species